CGGAAAAGAGGAAAACAAUAAAACUACCAACAAUAAAGCAUAAUAAUAAAAGCUUGUUACAAGUUUUAAAGUUUGAAAGUAAAAUGUCAAACAAAUUUGUUGCUUUAUUGUUAGUAGUGUGCCUUGUAACUGCUCAAGGUCAGCAUAUUUCUGUUAAAUAUGGUGAAAAAGUAGUGCCUCCAGCAGAUUGCUUCGUUUAUUGCAUCGCUGGAUGUGUAUGGCCCAAAGGCGUUUGUGACAGACUAUGUAAAUUUCGUUGUAGUUUCACCAUGUGGGAAUCUUUUCGUGGUACCGCCCCAAGGAAGCAUGGUCCAGUUGGUGCUCCCAGAGGUUCUUUGGCCCCUGCUCCACACACCCAUAGGGCAUAAUGGAUUCAAGUAAAAACACAACGACUUUGUCAUGAAUUGCUAUGUUUGUAACAAUUUAUGUCAAGAUCCUCUUUUCCCUUCAUUGUAAUUUUUUAUCAUAUAAUAAAUUGAAUUGUUAUUCUCUAUUCA